GCAGGAGUGGAGCUACUGGUUAACCUAAAUGCCAUUGAGAAGUUUUAGUCCCUUUGUCUCUGCCAAAAGUAUCUGAAGCCAGGGCUUUUCAAGUCUUCCAUCGGACACGGGACGAAUCUUGACUUGCAAGUCAAGGGUUGAAGGACUCGGUCUACUGUGUGCAUUCUUUCCACCAACGUGUGGAAAACUCGGCAUAUCCGGCUAGUUCACGCCAUGGAUUAGCCAAUGGAGAAGAACAGGGACUUGAUCUCCAAAUUCCAUGUUUCUGGUUUUCUUACAUCCACUUACCAUUUGCUCGGGGAUGUCAAGUGGAUGAGAAUUUGAAUGGUUGUUGGUUCUUAGAUAGAUAUACAGGCACAUGGCAGUUUAAAAGACUAAUAUAAACAUGUCCUUGUCAUAUUGUUGUGUUCUUCUGCUGA